GGGAUAGAAUUCCAGGAGUAGCGGUGAAAUGCGUAGAUAUCUGGAGGAAUACCAAAGGCGAAGGCAGUCCCCUGGUCCGAUGCUGACACUGAGGUACGAAAGCGUGGGGAGCAAACAGGAUUAGAUACCCUGGUAGUCCACGCCCUAAACGAUGUCGAUUAGCCAUUGGAAGGACCCCUUUUCCUUUCAGUGACGUAGCUAACGCGUUAAAUCGACCGCCUGGGAAGUACGACCGCAAGGUUAAAACUCAAAGGAAUUGACGGGGACCUGAACAAGCGGUGAAUGAUGUGGAUUAAUUCGAUGCUACGCGAAGAACCUUACCUACCUUUGACAUGGCCAAAGUUCUACCGAGAGGCGGAAGUACUCGUAAGAGGAUUGGCGCACAGGUGCUGCAUGGUUUCGUCAGUUCGUGUCGUGAGAUGUUGGGUUCAGUCCCGCAACGAACGCAACCCUUAUCUUUUAAUUGCUCCUAUUUUAACAGGCACUUUAAAAGAAAACUGCCAAUGAUAAGUUGGAGGAAGGUGGGGAUCACGUCAAGUCCGCAUGGCCUUUAUAGGUAGGGCUUCACACGUCAUACAAUGGUUAGAACAAAGAGCUGCAAAUUCGUAAGAAGGAGCCAAUCUCACAAACCUAACCUCAGUUCGAAUUGCGGUCUGCAACUCGAGCGCAUGAAGCCGGAAUCGCUAGUAAUCGUGGAUCAGAAUGCCACGGUGAAUACGUUCUUAGGUCUU
rnacentral:rRNA from 1 species